UGGUUCUGGCAUCGAUGAAGAACGCAGCGAAAUGCGAUAAGUAAUGUGAAUUGCAGAAUUCAACGAAUCAUCGAAUCUUUGAACGCACAUUGCGCCCAUUGGUAUUCCGAUGGGCAUGCCUGUUCGAGCGUCAUUUCAACUUCCAAGCUCUACUGCUUGACGUUGGAGCUUCUAUACAUUAAACCUAUAGGCUCUGAAAGAUCUUGGCAGUGUUCUUAUAAGCCCAAACGUAGUAACUUUCCUCGUUUAGGGUCCUAUAGGGGCUUCGCCAUAAAACCUACUAUAUUUUAAAGUUGACCUCGGAUCAGGUAGGAAUACCCGCUGA
rnacentral:misc_RNA from 1 species